rnacentral:misc_RNA from 1 species
AACGCAACUGGCACCGGUUUACCGGCAUGACUGUUUCAGUGUGCUAGGAGAGUAAACUAUCAUUAUAAAAUAUAAUGCGAUUGAGGUACAUUUAUGUUCUUCUUUCGUUAAAUAUGAAGGUGUGAAAGAUGAGUAAUCUCUCACACUGGCAAACGAAGUAGUCAUGCUUGUUCGUGAUCUCGUUUAACCAUUGCUAAAGGUUUUUGCUUAGCUAUAAAUCACAUCUAAUCAAUUAAAUAUCUCCAAAUUUGUCAUAUGAAAUCAUUCAAGGAUACCCGCUGCAUUUA